GAAAAAGAAUGUAAGAACUGCUAACUCAUGCACCCAUGCAUAAAAGCAUGGCUUUUUCA
rnacentral:tRNA from 2 species